rnacentral:rRNA from 1 species
UACGUAGGGGGCAAGCGUUGUCCGGACUUAUUGGGCGUAAAGCGCGCGCAGGCGGCCUUGUAAGUCUGUUGUUUAAACUCGGGGCUCAACCCCGAGUCGCAAUGGAAACUGCAAAGCUUGAGUACAGAAGAGGAAAGUGGAAUUCCACGUGUAGCGGUGAAAUGCGUAGAGAUGUGGAGGAAUACCAGUGGCGAAGGCGACUUUCUGGGCUGUAACUGACGCUGAGGCGCGAAAGCGUGGGGAGCAAACAGG